ensembl:lncRNA
CAUAAUUGUUUUUAUCAAUUUUAGAAUAAGGCUGUAACGUAGCAAAAUGUGGAAACAGUCAAGGGGUCUGAAUACUUCCCGAAUGCACUGUAGAUCUGGAAACACUCCAAAUCACAGUCAGGCCAUCCUGCACCCGUAACAGAGUUUGAUCUUGGUCGGAACAGACGGCUUGUACCGCCUUUCAAUGAAAAAGAGGUGGAUGUAUAUUUUACUCUGAGCGAAUUGCCACAUGCCUAAAAUAUCUGUGAGAUAGUUGGUCACUGCUCCUCUGAAGUGUUAUUUUUGAGAAAGGUUCAGAAAGUGUGUGGUGCUUUAUCUCUUGACCAGAGUUCCGAUUAUGACACUGUUAAAGCUGCUAUCCUUCAGCCUAUCCUUCAGGCUAUCCUUCAGGCUAUCCUUCAGCCUAUCCUUCAGCCUAUCCUUCAGGCUAUCCUUCAGGCUAUCCUUCAGCCUAUCCUUCAGGCUAUCCUUCAGGCUAUCCUUCAGCCUAUCCUUCAGCCUAUCCUUCAGGCUAUCCUUCAGGCUAUCAUUCAGCCUAUCCUUCAGCCUAUCCUUCAGCCUAUCCUUCAGGCUAUCCUUCAGGCUAUCCUUCAGCCUAUCCUUCAGCCUAUCCUUCAGCCUAUCCUUCAGCCUAUCCUUCAGCCUAUCCUUCAGGCUAUCCUUCAGCCUAUCCUUCAGCAUAUCCUUCAGCCUAUCCUUCAGCCUAUCCUUCAGCCUAUCCUUCAGCCUAUCCUUCAGCCUAUCCUUCAGCCUAUCCUUCAGCAUAUCCUUCAGCAUAUCCUUCAGCCUAUUCUUCAGCCUAUCCUUCAGCCUAUCCUUCAGCCUAUCCUUCAGCCUAUCCUUCAGGCUAUCCUUCAGCCUAUCCUUCAGCAUAUCCUUCAGCAUAUCCUUCAGCCUAUCCUUCAGGCUAUCCUUCAGGCUAUCCUUCAGGCUAUCCUUCAGCCUAUCCUUCAGCCUAUCCUUCAGCCUAUCCUUCAGGCUAUCCUUCAGGCUAUCCUUCAGCCUAUCCUUCAGCCUAUCCUUCAGGCUUAUGAGUUGGUCCCAGAGGCAUUCAGACAACAGUUCUGUAAAACACAAAAGACAAUCACAGAGCAUGUUGAAUUUGAAGGGAACACAAGCAUGGCUUUUUGAUCGGUGGUGUGGUUCUCAAGAGGUCAUGGACCUUGAGGAUUUAAAGACACUCAUAAUUCUCAAGCAGUUAAGAAAUUCCCUUCACGAAAGGGUGCAACCUACAUUUAUGAGCACAAGUAUCUCACUCUUGAGAAAGCUGCAGUAGUUGCAGAUUAGUUAGUGUUCAAACUACCUUCACAUACAACACAUCCAGUAGUGAUCCUUACACACAAACCAAUCCAGAGAAGUCACCUCCUACUGCGAGGUUUCAGUCCAUUUCUACAGCGCCCAAAGAUAAAGAUCGGCAGAGAACUGGGUUUUCGUAUCCUCCAGUUAGUCAUUACAACCAUGAGAAAGGACACAUUGUCUCUGUGUCCUGAGUUGAAGCCAAAAAAUUAGAGAGAAAAAGCAGUUUCUUCUUGUGGGGGCACUCCAGCCCAUUAAGUCUCUGGUUGGGAGCAAUGUAUCUCCUAAACAAGAUUUUAGAUCAGAUGAACCCUUUGUUUCAAACGGGUUUAUGUCUCUGCAGAGUGGCGAUGCUGUUAAGCAGCCAGUGAGAAUCCUUCAUUUUGGAGGGUGUUUUGCCUUUGUCUGACACUUCAGCAAAUGGCUACAGUGUGUUAGUACAAGCAUGGAGAUAAGUUGCAUGGAAGUUCCUUGUAUAAUAUGGAAUUCAAGUCUGAUCUUUUUUCUGGUUCUGUUGAAGCCUAGCCUACCGAUGAAGGGGUCUCAUUCAUUUUGGGAAACAUUUUAAGGAACCC